UGUGUGUGUGUGUGAGAGAGUGUGUGUGUGUGUGUUUAUUUUCAUAGUUCAUACAAUUCUAGAUUAAUGAUUUAACAAGGUGAUCUUUGCUCACACACACAUUUCCAUUAACAUGCAUACAACCCUUAAUGCAUGAUAUUCCUCAAUGUCAUUAAAAUAUAAUGUAUAUAAUGUAAUAUUUGACAGACGGUUUUUUGUCCUGAGGUGACUCUAAAUCUCUUGAAGAAAUCUCAGACAUGUUGAAAACUCAGUUCUUUUAUUUAACUGUUAUUAAAUACUUGUUUCGCACCAGCACUGCCAUAAACGCUUAUUUCUGGGACAUGAUAAAAGCUCUUCAUUUAUUGACACUCGCAGCCCGUCAGUUCAGCACUUGAACUUUACAUGAUAAUAAAAUAUGAGCAGCGUGACUGUCACUCCUACACUAGAUAUUACAGUAUAGAAAAAAUAAUUUCAUUACUUGAUCCUUGAAACACACAAUCAAGUGGAGAUGCCAUGUGUAUAUAUAGAAUAUACUGUAACACCCUAAAGACAUCUGAGGCACGAGAGGACAAUGAUUUCACAGAAAGAACAUGAAAUGGAAAUAUACAGUAUAUAUAUAUAUAUAUAUAUAAAGCG